GAUGAACGCUGGCGGCGUGCCUAAUACAUGCAAGUCGAGCGAACAGACGAGGAGCUUGCUCCUCUGACGUUAGCGGCGGACGGGUGAGUAACACGUGGAUAACCUACCUAUAAGACUGGGAUAACUUCGGGAAACCGGAGCUAAUACCGGAUAAUAUAUUGAACCGCAUGGUUCAAUAGUGAAAGACGGUUUUGCUGUCACUUAUAGAUGGAUCCGCGCCGCAUUAGCUAGUUGGUAAGGUAACGGCUUACCAAGGCAACGAUCCGUAGCCGACCUGAGAGGAGGACCGCCCCCACUACAACUCAGACAGCGUCCAGCCUCCUGCGGGGGCCAGCAGCGGGGAACCUCGCGGGGGGGCCCCACGCCCCAGGCAGCGCGGCCAGUGGAGGGAAAAGGUUCUCCGGUUCUCAAACCUCUUUAUUACGGAAAACACAACUGAAUAGUUAACUGUGACGGUCAUGGCGUCACCUAACCAGACCACCACCCCCACCCCCCGC
rnacentral:rRNA from 1 species